ACCUUUCACUUCAACCCAAGAUUUAUGACUUGUAACUCAGCAGAUUGUUGCUAUAACAGCGCACUAUCCUGCUGCAGGCAGGAGCUGGGUUCCAGCUGCAAGUACCUCAGACUGUCACUUUCCUGCUAUUCUCCCUCUCUUCUUGUCAGUCAUCAGGGACCCAGCCAAGCGAGGGAAAGCAGAGGCCGAGGCUCCAGUGGAGCAGCAAAGAGAGCAGAGCCCCCCGGGUUCUGGCGACUCAAACUUGUCUUACAGCUUUCACAGAUCACAAAGCCAGUGCCUCGAAGGAGAACUAGAUCCCUGCUCCUUGGUUAACCAAGCAUGGGAUGAACGAUGGCUCCUCUCAUUGCCAGCAGCUCUGGAGGUCACUGAGGAGUCAGCUACAGGCCGGGGUUCACCCAGCAGAGCUGGGCUGGCAGGAGCUAUCGUUAAUUCAAGAUUUGGACUCAUGGUGGACACUUGAGGUGAGAGAGGCAUGAACGCCUCAGUACAAGAAAUGGAAAAGGCGGGGAACUGAAUGUCCCUUACUGGGAUUUCAACUGCGCUGUGAGACCUUGGGAAAUUCACUUUGCUGAAUUUGGAGUUCUUCAUUUGCAUAGUAUGCAUAUUAGUGCCUCGUAUGCUUAAAGGUCUAUUUCAGAUCAGCCCUGUGGAAACUGAUAUGGAGAAGAAGCUCACUGGAUCUGGACGCUUGCCUUUUCUUGCCAUACCGUCACUUCUCAUCUUUGGCUCUUGCUUUUCCAGAAAUGUGAACGGCAGUCAAAACUGAAUUCAGAGAGGAGCUUGAUUUUCUCUUGUUCUAGGGGGCAUUAGCACAGAUCACACACACAGAGUGUGGAAGGAGCAUGGGACUCACAGCAUAGGUCCUGGAGUUCUCCACAAAUUGCUAAAUGUCAGUGAAAUUGUACUAUAAAGUUAAGUAAGGCCUCUGUCAUUACAGUUGGUUUGGAUUUGAUGUCAUACCAGGAACUGAGUCAAAGAUCCUGGCCUCAUAAAUGUCCAUCCCCAUAUAAACACACAGUAUCUUCCACACAAGAAAAAUCCCUGCCAGAAAUUCUGGAUGGUUUCCUUUAUUGACAGCUGAGCAUGAAGAUCAAUAGAGCAAUAUUUUAUGGAAUUCAAUUUAUCAAAAGAUUUCAUGACUUAAAGAUGAUGGAAUGUCUUAUUUAUUGGCAAUUAUGGGAACUUCAGGAAUAUUUGGUGUAGCAAAUGCUACAGCUCAAAGUUGAUUUGAAAUUUCCUGUCCUUGAAAGAAGACAGACUGAACAUUGCUCUUGAAGACCAAAUCUCAAUCCCAAACCCUUGCAGCCAGUAUACAAACAAGCCAAGAUACGGGGCAGAAAUAAAUGUGGCAGGUGCAUUGUGCUUGAAAAACUGUCUACAAAAGCAGAUGCAGAAUGAAUGGGAAACUGGUGUUCUAUUAAUUCUUUGAUAAUUUUUACAUGGUGUAUUUUAAUCAUAGUUACCUCUAUAUGUAGUCCAUAUGCACUACAACUACACACACACAUGUGCAUGCAUUCACACAAACAUAUAUUAUCAUACAUACACACAUAUACACAUUCUCACACACACACACACACACACACACACACACAUAGCAAGACGACUCCUAAUCUAUAACCCCACCCAACCUUUUCCAUAUGAAGUUGUAGCAAAUAACUAGGUUAAAAUUAGUAGUUAUAAAAUGUGAUAUGGUACCCCAGCUUGGACCCUGAAACAUUAAAAAGGGCAUCGUGGAAAAAUUAGUGAAAAUCAAACGAAUACUGUAGUCUAAUUGAUAGUCGAUUGCCAAUGUUAAUUUCAUUUUUUAUUAAUUUUUAAAUUGGUAUACAAAGUAAUAGGUUUAUUAACUAUGACAUUUCAACAUGUACACUCCAUUAUACAUCGUUCUAAUUCAUCCUCCUAGCCCACUGCUCCUCCCCAAGUUCCUGCAAAUCUCUGACUAGUUCUUUCUACUGAGUUUUUAACGUGACAUAUCUCCCCCAGACUCUUGUGUUGAAUACUUGGUCACUAUCUGGAGCAAGCCUUGAGGUGGGGCGUAGCUGGAAGAAAUGAAUAACUGCGGGAAUGCCUUGAGGUUUCUUAACCUAGUCCCACUUCCUGUUCUCUCUCUGAAUGAGGAGGUGCAGCCACCCUAUACUCACUCAGUGAUACCCCCCCACCCAUCCUAUGAAGCUGUAACCUCUUGAACUGUGAGCCCAGAUAAACCUGUCUUCCCUCAAGUUGCUUCUUGUUAGAUAUCAGGUGACAGCAAUGAAAAACAUAAGUCAUACGUUUCCUUCUUCCUGAAGGGUCCCUCUUCUGCUUUCAUGCCACAUGUAUCCCACUCCAUGUCCCCUCCCAUUUGAGAUCUCCUCUUUCCCUCUCAUGAUCACCUUUCUAGCUUUAUCUCACACUCACAUAUACACACUGGCAUACAUACUUACACACACAUAUAUAUACAUUCACUCAUACACACUAAUAUACACAUUCUCACACUCACAUAUACACACUCAUACACACAAUCCCUCAUUCAUUCAUGUACUCAGAUAUACACUCACAUACUUACUUACAUAUAUCCACUCAUACGUACACAAUCACAUGCACACUCACUCAUAUACACAUAUACACAUACUCAUAUACACACAUACACACACUCACUCAUAUAUACACUCACAUACACGCACAUACAUACAUACAUACACACAAUUUUAAAUAUAGAUCCUGCAUAUGGGAUGAAAUGUGGUAUUUGUAUUACAGAGAAAGACUUAUUGCACUUAACAUAGUGUGUCUUCCUACAAAUGUCAGAUUUCAGCUUUCUUUAAAGCUGAAUAAAUUCCAUUGUGUGUGUAUGCUACAUUUUCAUUAUUCAUUCAUUUCAAUAGGCUUCUGAGCUGGUUCCAGUCCCUGGCUGUUCACUAGUGAAGCAAUAAACAUAUAUGUGCAAGUAUCUGUAGUAUGUUCCCACAGGACUCUAACCCAACAUGCCAACAUUAAUUUCUUAGUUCGACAAAUAAACAAUGUUUAUGUAAGAUAUCAACAUCUGGGAAAGCUGGCUGAAAGAUGUCCCAGAAUUCUCAAGGAUAAUGUCUUUGCAACCUAAUUGCAAAUCUAAAUUUAUUCCCAAGUAGGUAGUUUAUUUUAAAAAUUUAAGAGGAUUAAAUCCAUAAUUUACUGACCAUAGAACAUGAAGUACUGAAAGACUCUCAGAUAUGGAAUCUACCCAAAGAUUUGAGUAAGAUGUUCCCUGUUCUUUCUGUUAGUUGUGCCUGGGAUUAACUAUUAACCUCUCAGAGCCUCCAUUUUCACAACAGAAGCAAUAAGCCAGCGGCUCAGUGAAUAAAGCACUUGCUUCCAA